rnacentral:rRNA from 1 species
CGCCUGGGGAGUACGGCCGCAAGGUUAAAACUCAAAUGAAUUGACGGGGGCCCGCACAAGCGGUGGAGCAUGUGGUUUAAUUCGAUGCAACGCGAAGAACCUUACCUGGUCUUGACAUCCACGGAAGUUUUCAGAGAUGAGAAUGUGCCUUCGGGAACCGUGAGACAGGUGCUGCAUGGCUGUCGUCAGCUCGUGUUGUGAAAUGUUGGGUUAAGUCCCGCAACGAGCGCAACCCUUAUCCUUUGUUGCCAGCGAUUAGGUCGGGAACUCAAAGGAGACUGCCAGU